UUUUUGUGCUCGCUGUCUCACGUUUGGCCCUCUCCAAAGCUCUGCCUUCACGAACGCCUCCAUUUGACCUUCCCCUUCCCCCCCUCUCUGGUCUCCCUUGGUAGCUUUACAAUACAUCUGAUGGAAAGGUGACUCUCCCCUCUCCUAUUUUCAGCUCCUCGUUACCCUUUGUAUUGUCCUCUCCCCUUCCUAUCAGCACCUUCCUUCUGAUCUCACCCUUUUCAGGACUCUUCCAGAAACUCUCUUGAUGUCUCUGCCUCUUUCCCGUCUCCUUUGCACUUUUUCUUUUCUCUCUGGGCUGUGGGACAGCAGAAGGGAGAUUGCAAAUGGUUACCUAGAUUGAGUCCUCCUUGUACCUCACUGACGCCACCCUUUUUUCUGUCACGUUGAGGUCGAAUUAUGUGGGCCCCUGGAUGAGGCUCGGGGGUUCUGCUGCUGUUGCCGCCAUUAGCAGUCUCUUUGCUUGGAAACUUAAAUGAAGGAAGCUUCUGGAAACUGGCCAAAGACCCCUGAGAUGCACCUUGAGGACUAAACGUCUCCCUCACUCUAUCUCUGCUUGGUUACUCUUUGGUUUGUCUCAGACACCCUCUGCUUCUUCCCACUUCUUGACUCCCUUCACCCCUACCCGCCCCCCAACAAUCACAUUAUUCAUCCCUUUGGCACCAGCUCUAGAGAGGAAAGGGUAGGUCCUCCUCUCCAGGAAGGAAGGUGGGGCAGAGUAGCUCCCGCAGGAAGGGAAGGAAAAAGGAGGGAAGGAAGGAAGUGGCCAACAGAAGGUGGAAUCCGGUGGGAGGGCUUUUCAUUGUUUGAACUUCUUUCCUUUUUAGCUCUGCAAAGUCAAGCCCAAGGCUGUCUCACCAAGGUUCUGCUGCCAUCUCUAGAACCCCAGCUGGGACUCCCUGCCAGAGCCUGGAGGGGCUGAGGUUUUGGUGGACAUAUGCAAAGGAGGUGCGCAGGAGUUUAAUGUAUGCUGCAAAUUGUAAGCACGUACAUUUUUAAUGUAUCCAUCUCCUUCUGUUUCUUUUCUGUCCAACAGUCAGCUUUUAUCUUCCCUUUUCUCCAGGGGGAAAAAAAAAAGCUCCAGGGUAGAAUCAUGCCUCAGGAAAACCCUUCCCCUUUGGUGGUCAGCUAACUACUCCUCCAGGAAGCCAUCUCUGAUUCCUACUCCAGCCCCCAAGGAAGAGGUAAGUUUUUAUGUCAU
rnacentral:lncRNA from 1 species